GACAACCAUAUCACGUUGAAACAUUGUUUCUCGGACGAACACCGAAGUUAAGCAACGUCGAACCUGGUCAGUACCUAGAUGGGUGAUACCGUGGGAAUACCAGGUGCU